rnacentral:lncRNA from 1 species
AGGUAUAGUGAUCCUUAUUCACUUCCAUUUCUAAAAGAUGAAAAGAGUUGGGAACUAUUGCAGAAGAAAGUAUUUAAACGAGGGAACUCGUGUCCUUUGGAGCUAGUCAAUGUAGGACAACUAGUUGCCAAAAAAUGUAAAGGAUUACCUUCUUUGAUUAUCAUGAUUGCUAUAACUCUUUCAGAAGAAAGAGAAGCGUCUUCGUGGCUUAAGGUUGCAUAUGAUAUAAGUUCUCAUGUUUUCGACAAGGAGAGAAGCAUGAUGACGAUACGAUCAAGUUAUGGCCAUUUACCGGAUCAUUUAAAGCCUUGCCUUCUCUAUAUGGGAUUGUUUCCUAAAGAUUACGAAAUUCCAGUGUCUGAUCUACUCAAGUGGUGGAUAGCUGAGGAGUUUGUGCAGAACAUUGACACGUUGAAUCCAGAAGAAUUAUCAGAGAUUUGCUUGCAUGAUCUUGUUGGCAGAAACCUCGUAGUGGUUUCCAAAACAAGCUUGAAUGGUAAAAUGAAAUGCUGCAUAGUUCUUGAUCAAGUGCGUGAGUUUUGCUUGAGAAAAAUUACAGAAGAAAAGUUCAUGCACCUCAUAGUGCCGUAUAGUUAUCCAGAUCAACCCGAAGAACAAAGGUUAUGCAUGUACAUACAUGACCGUACUAUGACAAGUGAUUUCAAGGAAAGUGAUCAGGAGUUCAUUGUUCAUCCGAAAUUCAGUAUAUUGGACCGUAAGAAUCCUUUCCGUUUGCUUAAUAACUUAAAACUUGUUCGGGUUUUACAUUUAUUGGAUAUCUACUUGGACAAUUCUUUGGCUGCUACAUUUCAGUCAUUCCCUCACUUGAGGUACCUUGCAAUUUUUGUUAAAGCAUUUGAUUUCAAAUGGGUGUCACACCUACUUCAUCUACAAACUUUGCGGGUUCGUUCAUCUUAUAUAAUGAUAUCCCCUGCUAUAUGGAAAAUGUCAAAGUUGAGGCAUGUGGACAUAAACGAAUUUCCCGUUACAGUAUGGGAUGAAGAUGAUAAAGAUGAUAUUGUGUUAGAUAACUUGAAGACUCUUGGAAUGUGUUCUAUGUCCGCGGCUGACAUGACUUGGGAGUUUUGGAAAAAGUUUGCAAAUCUUGAAGAACUCAGGCUCCACAUAAAUGAAUUUGAAAAUCAUGUUCCUUAUCAUUUUUGCUUUUUCCCCUUACGUCUCAGGUGUUUGUCUCUCAGUGAAAUAUUCCUAACUGAUGGAUUAGUUUCAAGUAUUACAAAUUUGCGAUGCCUUGAGACUCUUAAAUUAUCCGAGAUAUACUUUGCAGGGGAAAAGUAUUGGGAUCUCGGUGAUAGCACGUUUGUACAACUCAAGUUUUUGAAACUACAUCGUGUUUUUAUGACCAAAUGGAGUUGCUCAGAGGAAUCAUUUCCUUGCCUUGAAUAUCUUGUUAUAAAAAAUUGUCCCAAGCUUGAAGAGAUCCCGGAUAGCUUUGCUGAUAUUCCAACACUGCAAUUGAUUAAAGUGAUCAAUUGUAGUGAGUCAGUUCGCAAUUCAGCUCAAAACAUUAAAGAAGAUGUAGAAAACACUGAAGGAAAUGAGAGACUCCAACUUCAUAUCCCCAAGAACUACUAAAGAUGGUAAGUGAUUUCAUUAUUGUCAGCUACAUUCCUUUGACGCAGAAUUACAUUGCAUGAUGUGUCGUUUUGUAUUGUUGUUGUAUUGUAUCGUACUGUAUUUUAAUGAAGGGAAAAAGGACAAAUAAACCCCCGAACUAUCGUAAAUGGUAUCUAAAUACCCUCCGUUAUACUUUUAGGACGUUCAUGUCCUUACCGUCCAAAUUUUGGAGCGUAUAUACCCUUAUGAUAGACGGCGGGACACGUGGCAUCAUCUCAAUGACUUGCCCAAAAUUAUUUAAUUUAUAUUUCCAACCCGGAUAACUUAAAACCCCCGACCCAAAUUAUAACCCAUAGACACCCUGACCCAAAUGAAAGAAAAAAAAAAGGCAACGACAACCAUUGCCUCUUUCAUCUAUUCCUCACUUCUUCUUCAAUGGCAUCUUUUCAAAUUUCAUCUUCUUCAAUACAACCAUUGAUAAUGUGCAUAUUUAUUGCCGCUAAAAUUUUUGUCUUCUCCUCAUCCACAACUGGAGCAACAUUAGAUCCAAUAACAAUUCACUAAUGUCGGUAAAGACUUUAACACUCUUUGUUAAUGUGCAUAUUUAUUGCCGCUAAAAAAUAUUUUUGUUAUAGUUCUAGAUGUGAUUUCCGAGCAGCUGAAUCAUUCAUCAGACUUGUGAAUUUCUAGUCAGAGGAGACAUCAGUAGAAGCUAAACCAUUGUAGUACUGAGAUGAAAGGUUCUGCUUUGUGGAUGGAUUGAUUUGCAUAUCAUCAGCAAGUUGCUAUUGACCGGAGGAUAUCAAUGUCUAUUUAGAUUUGUGCUUUGUAAUGCUCCGUUCUGAUAUGUAUUGUCAGAGAUGGAGCCAGAAUUUGAAGCUUAUGGAUUCUGAAUUUUUUUCACAUGUGAUCUGAACUAUUAAUUGUCAUGUUCACUGUUGUUAUUUGCUGAUGGAAACUAUAUGUGUGUAUUUUGUAUAUAUAUAUAUGAAAGUAUCUCCGGUAAUUUCUUAUCACAAUUUACUACUAUCUCCGUCUUUAUUCAAGUGUCUUAGUUUGAUUGGACACGGGUAUAAGAAAUAAAUUGAGAUUUUUUCGAAUCUUAUGGUCUUAAAUUAAAGAUGUAUGUUAUCUUUUCAAUUUUAUGUGGUCUUAAACUUGUCAGUAGAGUGUUGGUGUUGAAAAUUUUACUAAAUAUAAAAAGACUUUUUUGGAAUAGACAAAAAGAGAAAGUAAGACACUUAAAUUGGUACGGAGGAAGUAAGUCUCAAGAAUAUUGAAGAAUUUUAUCAAGUGUUAUCUGGUUUUAAAAAAAUAAUCAAGGUUCUAAGUACAGAAUUGAACACUGUAGAAAUAUUAAUGUAAGCAAGUAAAUAAUUAAAAAGGCAACAUCAUUUCUUUUAUACUGGUUCGAUCCAAAUGUUAGACUCCCAAAAUGGACACUUUUAGAACGCCAUAGAUUAAAAGGACCCUCCCUAAAAACACAGACCAAAACAUGCACUUCACCCAAACAAUUUGAAAAUAUUAAGGUAUUAUCAAAUAGGUGAAGUGUCCAUUUUGGUUCUUGUUUUUAGGGAAGGUCUCUUUUGGUUCGUAACAUCCAAAAAAUAUCCCUUUUGGGGCUAGACUCCUCCAGGGAGGUUCAGUUUAGUUGAAAAAUAAGUUAUCUUGAAAUUAGUUAUUUCGAAAUUAUUAUUCCACCUUCAAUGUGAGAGAAAAAUAAUUCUACAAAUUUGAUAAUUAAAAUUUUGGGCCAUCAUGAUGAUUUGGUGUACUAUAAAUUUGGGUUGGAUCAAAUUAAAAAUAAUUUCUUAACAUGGUCUAAUAAAAGAGUGCCACGUGUAAUUUUAUAAAGUCAACCUUGUCAAUUACUAGAUCUAUCUUUCUCCUAUACCAUCAGUAUUCAUUCUUCAAGAUUCAAAGCCCACAAAACUUCUUUUCCAAUUCUUUCUAAGAGGGAAACUAUAGAGUUAACACAAUCAUAUAGCAAUUAUUAAUCUCUCUAUUUGCACUCUAAGGUGAGAUUCCUUUUUUAGCUUUCUAUUUUUUUCCUUUUAUUUUACUUUCUGAUGAGUCAUCCAAUUUAUGUGACACUUUGUUGUUAUUUUUUCGGUAAUUAAUUUGACUAAUCUUUGAAUAUAAAUUAGAUUAGAUCAAUUCUAUAUGAGAAGUAGUAUUAAGUAGUUGUGAUUCUUCUCAUAUCAAUAUGAUCCUUAAUAUUUUGGUUUGGGUCAAUCGAAUAGAUAGAAGAUCUAGCACCUUGGUGAGAGAUAAUGGGGCACAAGUUAGGAUAGAGUUUUGUGAUCUUGGGGAAAGCUAGUUUGAAUCUCGAAAAACUAAAAUUAAGACAUAGAGAUUUGAGGAAUUAACUUCUAAUUAACAAAUCUUUCAUAAUGUUUCCAGUGUUGUUAAUCCUAUUUUAAAUUUUAUAAGUACUAAUUUGUAACUUCCAUAGAUAUAUAUUCCCUCUUUUCAGAACAUGGAUGUUGAGGCAAAAUGUUUAAUCACACGUACUAGGUAACUCUGUCCACCUAGUGUUUUAUGGACAUGUAAAAUGUUCAAAACUAUUUCUAAUGCUCACUUGCUAUUUGAAUAGAAGAAAAUGACAUUACUAAGACGAAAACUAUUUCAUUGAUUUUAUGGAGGCUGACACAGUUAUUAACUAUAAUGCAGUUUUACAUGGAGAACAUCGAGUUAACUACUUCUCGAUGCUAUUUUUCAUCGAAUGAUGAGGAAUUUGUGGGGUUUAAGGAGGAUGUAAAACAGAUCAUUAAGAAAUUGACUAGAGGAACAAAAGAACGCGAAGUUAUAUCGAUUGUUGGAAUGGCAGGACUAGGCAAAACAACUUUGGCUAGAAAGGUGUACAACAAUCAUUCUGUUGCUGAUCACUUUGAUGUUCGCGCAUUUUGUAUUGUUUCACAAACAUAUAGCAUCAGAAAGCUAUUGUUUGAGAUUCUUAAACAAGCCACGGGUGAAAAACGUGACAUGAUCAAAGAGGAUGAGGACGUUGCAGAUACGUUGAGGAAGGCACUUUAUUGUAAGAGAUACCUCAUUGUUUUAGAUGAUAUGUGGAACUAUGAGGCAUGGGAAGAUUUGCAAUCAUGGUUCCCUUGUGUGGAAACAGGAAGUAGAAUUAUGGUAACAACUUGCGUCCAAGAGGUUGCUAUUAAGAUGAGUGAUCCUUAUUUACUUCGAUUCCUAACAGAUGAAGAGAGUUGGGAAUUAUUGCAAAAGAAGGUAUUUAAAUGCGAGGGGGUUCCCUUAGAGCUAGAAAAAGCAGGAUUUGAAGUUGCUCGAAACUGUAAGGGAUUGCCUCUUGUGAUUGUGUUGAAUGCUGGUAUUAUCGCACAAAAGGUAUUAUCAAAGUGGAUUUGGCCCAAAGCUAGACAAAUGCAAAUCUAAGAACAAGAAAAUUUGAAAAAAAACUAGGAAAAAUUACACAAGUGAAGAUCUUUUAUCUUUAUUUAAUAAUUACCACUUUUAAGUAUACUUUUAAUUUAUUACCAUUUUUGUCAAAUUUUAGCAAUACUGUCAUUCAGCCAAAUUUUUAUAUAUGGUUAAAACAAUAAUGUUGACAAAUAUCGUAAAUAUUUUUUAAAAAGUGUACACUUAAGUGAUUGUCUAAGUUCGUUUAAAGCCCAUUUAGCUUUUGGUUAAUGUCUUAAUCUAAAUAAGUAGAUAUAUUUAAUGUGAUUUUAUUUAUCUACCUAAUGAGCGUCUCGAGAACAAGUGGAAAUAAUUUAAUCUAGAUAUUCUUAAAUCAAGACUUAAAUGGGGCCCUCAAUUAAAAAAUCUCUAAUAAUUAACAGAACUUUGGAGCAAUUAUUGAUCUCUCUGUUUCCACUCUAAGGUGAGAUAUAUUCCCUGUUUUUUUUCCUUUUUGCUAUUUCUCAUUUGAUUAUUUCUCACAUUUUUUAUGCAAUCUAGUCUACAUUCUGAUAAAUUUGGGUUGGAUCUAAUCUCAUCAUGUACUUUUAAAAUCAACUCCUAGUUCUAUCUUUUUGCUACCAUUCUUUUUCAAUUUUGUGCAAGACUGAAGCCAUAGAUCCUUUUAAGCAAUUAUUGAUCUCUUAAGGUGAGAUUCCUUUUGUUUUACUUGGAUUUGAUGCACUUGAGCCGAGAGUUUUUGGAAAACAGUCUCUCUACCUCCACGAAAUAGUGGUAAGAUCUGCAUAUACUCUAUUCUUCCCACAUCCUACUAGAUUGUUGUUUUGUUAUUUCUAAUUUGAUUGUUUGUCGCAAUUUUCAUGUCUUAUUUUACUAUAGUAAUGGAAUAUAUAUACUCGUAUUCGUAAGAUUCCUUUUCCUUUACUUAGAUUUAAUGCACUUGAGUUGAGGGUCUUUUGGAAACCGUCUUUCUACCUCCACGAAGUAGUGAUAAGAUAUGCAUAUACUCUACUCUGGCUAUGUUAUUGUUUUGUUAUUUCUAAUUUGAUUGCUUGUCGCAAUUUUCAUGCCUUGUUUUACUAUAGUAAUGGAACAUAUAUACUCGUAUUUGUAAGAUUCCAUUUUCUUUAUUUAAAUUUGAUGCACUUGAGUUGGGAGUCUUUUGGAAAUAAUGUCUCUACCUACACGAAGUAGUGGUAAGAUCUGCGUACACUCUGCUCUGGUAUGUUGUGGUUUUGUUAUUUCUAAUUUAAUUGUUUGUCACAAUUUUCAUGUCUUGUUUUACUAUAGUAAUGGAACAUAUAUACUCAUAUUCAUAAAACUUUAGAUGUGGCAUUGUUAAUCAUUAGAGUAUAUUUUUGUUAAUGUAGAUUUUGUUUCCAACAAUCGUUAAAGAGGUCAAGCUAAUUAUAUGGAGAAUACUGAAGAGUCUUGCAUCGAACCUUAUUAUCCACCAAUUGACGAAGAACUAGUGGGGUUUGAUGAUGAUGCAGAAAAUAUAACCAAGUAUUUGAUAAGAGGAAGAAUGGACCUGGACAUUGUCUCGAUUGUUGGAAUGGCUGGUUUAGGGAAAACAGCUCUGGCUAGAAAGAUAUACAAUAGUCGUUCUAUUAUUGAUCAUUUUGAUGUUCGAGCUUGGUGUUCUGUUUCACAAACAUAUAAUAUGAGAGAGUUGUUGCUUCAGAUUCUAAAACAAAUUACAGGUGAUCAUCAUUCUAACUAUGUUGACUUGGAUUAUCCUGAAUUCAUAUUGCGGAGGAUUCUAAAGGCAACAAAAUAUCUCAUUGUAUUAGAUAACAUAUGGGAAGUCCAUGGAUUGGCUUAUUUUCGAGCAUGUUUCCCUGAUCGUCAUACUGGAAGUAGAAUAAUGGUAACAACUAGAAAUGAAGAGGUGGCUAGCUAUGUUAAGGGGUAUAGUGAUCCUUAUUCACUUCCAUUUCUAAAAGAUGAAAAGAGUUGGGAACUAUUGCAGAAGAAAGUAUUUCAACGAGGGAACUCGUGUCCUUUGGAGCUAGUUAAUGUAGGACAACUAGUUGCCAAAAAAUGUAAAGGAUUACCUUCUUUGAUUAUCAUGAUUGCUGAAAUUCUUUCAGAAGAAAGAGAAGCGUCUUCGUGGCUUAAGGUUGCAUAUGAUAUAAGUUCUCAUGUUUCCGACAAGGAGAUGAUCAUGAAGACGAUACAAUCAAGUUAUGAUUAUUUACCAGAC